ACUUUUCCUUCAUCUUCUUUUUACUGUUUUCAUUUUAUUUUGAUCUUAUUUUGUUUAAUUUGCUUUAAAAAUCGUAUUUUAGUGUCUUAGAUCAUGCUGACUCUACCACAGAUCUGAGAGUAGAUCUGCUCGUUUCCGGGUAGAUCUAGCCUCAGAUCUGAAUUCGAUUUGUCCCACUUUCCCUACCACUUCAUUUUCAUAAGUUUAAGGUGUUAAGGUUCGAGGGAUCUUCCUCAGAAGAUCUGACAGAUUUUCAUUGUUAACAACAUGCACCAAAUUUGACAAUGCACCAAGCUUUAUUGAAAAAUCAAUUUUCAAGAAUGAGCUCAAGGAUAGGUUGUUAGGGUGGCAGGGCACUAUAACAUGAUGUUUUGUAUUCAUUUCAUUCUUAUCGAUGGUAG
rnacentral:lncRNA from 1 species